AAUUGUGGACAUUUUCUUUGCAAUUGCAUCAAACAUGUGUUUUAGACCUUGUUCAGGGAAAAGUGGUUAUAACUGUAUUUUAUGCUGAAACCUACUGAAAAUGGUCCAAGGUGUUCCUACUAUCUCAAUUGUGGACAUUUUCUUUGCAAUUGCAUCAAACAUGUGUUUUAGACCUUGUUCUGAGAAAAGUGGUUAUAACUGUAUUUUAUGCUGAAAAUUGUCCAAGGUGUUCCUACUAUCUCAAUUGUGGACAUUUUCUUUGCAAUUGAAUCAAACAUGUGUUUUAGACCUUGUUCAGGGAAAAGUGGUUAUAACUGUAUUUUAUGGUUGAAAUUUUGCUUGAAUUUGGUGACAGUGUUUCUUACCAUCCCAACAACGCGUGGACAACAUUUUAUUUGCUAAUUGCAUCAAACAUGUGUUUUAGACCUUGUUCAGGGAAAAGUGGUUAUAACUGUAUUUUAUGCUGAAAAUUGUCCAAGGUGUUCCUACUAUCUCAAUUGUGGACAUUUUCUUUGCAAUUGCAUCAAACAUGUGUUUUAGACCUUGUUCAGGGAAAAGUGGUUAUAACUGUAUUUUAUGCUUGAAACCUACUGAAAAUUGUCCAAGGAUUUCCUAUUAUCUCAAUUGUGGACAUUUUCUUUGCAAUUUGCAUCAAACAUGUGUUUUAGACCUUGUUCAGGGAAAAGUGGUUAUAACUGUAUUUUAUGCUUGAAACCUACUGAAAAUUGUCCAAGGAUUUCCUACUAUCUCAAUUGUGGAUAUUUUCUUUGCAAUUGCAUCAAACAUGUGUUUUAGACCUUGUUCUGAGAAAAGUGGUUAUAACUGUAUUUUAUGCUGAAAAUUGUCCAAGGUGUUCCUACUAUCUCAAUUGUGGACAUUUUCUUUGCAAUUGCAUCAAACAUGUGUUUUAGACCUUGUUCAGGGAAAAGUGGUUAUAACUGUAUUUUAUGGUUGAAAUUUUGCUUGAAUUUGGUGACAGUGUUUCUUACCAUCCCAACAACGCGUGGACAACAUUUUAUUUGCUAAUUGCACCAAACACGUGUGUAUUAGACCUUGUUCAGGGAAAAGUGGUUAUAACAGUAUUUUAUGCUUGAAACCUACUGAAAAUGGUCCAAGGUGUUCCUACUAUCUCAAUUGUGGACAUUUUCUUUGCAAUUGCAUCAAACAUGUGUUUUAGACCUUGUUCAGGGAAAAGUGGUUAUAACUGUAUUUUAUGGUUGAAAUUUUGCUUGAAUUUGGUGACAGUGUUUCUUACCAUCCCAACAACGCGUGGACAACAUUUUAUUUGCUAAUUGCAUCAAACAUGUGUUUUAGACCUUGUUCAGGGAAAAGUGGUUAUAACUGUAUUUUAUGCUGAAAAUUGUCCAAGGUGUUCCUACUAUCUCAAUUGUGGACAUUUUCUUUGCAAUUGCAUCAAACAUGUGUUUUAGACCUUGUUCAGGGAAAAGUGGUUAUAACUGUAUUUUAUGGUUGAAAUUUUGCUUGAAUUUGGUGACAGUGUUUCUUACCAUCCCAACAACGCGUGGACAACAUUUUAUUUGCUAAUUGCAUCAAACAUGUGUUUUAGACCUUGUUCAGGGAAAAGUGGUUAUAACUGUAUUUUAUGCUGAAAAUUGUCCAAGGUGUUCCUACUAUCUCAAUUGUGGACAUUUUCUUUGCAAUUGCAUCAAACAUGUGUUUUAGACCUUGUUCAGGGAAAAGUGGUUAUAACUGUAUUUUAUGGUUGAAAUUUUGCUUGAAUUUGGUGACAGUGUUUCUUACCAUCCCAACAACGCGUGGACAACAUUUUAUUUGCUAAUUGCAUCAAACAUGUGUUUUAGACCUUGUUCAGGGAAAAGUGGUUAUAACUGUAUUUUAUGCUGAAAAUUGUCCAAGGUGUUCCUACUAUCUCAAUUGUGGACAUUUUCUUUGCAAUUGCAUCAAACAUGAGUUUUAGACCUUGUUCAGGGAAAAGUGGUUAUAACAGUAUUUUAUGCUUGAAACCUACUGAAAAUGGUCCAAGGUGUUCCUACUAUCUCCAUUGUGGACAUUUUCUUUGCAAUUGCAUCAAACAUGUGUUUUAGACCUUGUUCAGGGAAAAGUGGUUAUAACUGUACUUUAUGGUUGAAAUUUUGCUUGAAUUUGGUGACAGUGUUUCUUACCAUCCCAACAACGCGUGGACAACAUUUUAUUUGCUAAUUGCAUCAAACAUGUGUUUUAGACCUUGUUCAGGGAAAAGUGGUUAUAACUGUAUUUUAUGCUGAAAAUUGUCCAAGGUGUUCCUACUAUCUCAAUUGUGGACAUUUUCUUUGCAAUUGCAUCAAACAUGUGUUUUAGACCUUGUUCAGGGAAAAGUGGUUAUAACUGUAUUUUAUGGUUGAAAUUUUGCUUGAAUUUGGUGACAGUGUUUCUUACCAUCCCAACAACGCGUGGACAACAUUUUAUUUGCUAAUUGCAUCAAACAUGUGUUUUAGACCUUGUUCAGGGAAAAGUGGUUAUAACUGUAUUUUAUGCUGAAAAUUGUCCAAGGUGUUCCUACUAUCUCAAUUGUGGACAUUUUCUUUGCAAUUGCAUCAAACAUGUGUUUUAGACCUUGUUCAGGGAAAAGUGGUUAUAACUGUAUUUUAUGGUUGAAAUUUUGCUUGAAUUUGGUGACAGUGUUUCUUACCAUCCCAACAACGCGUGGACAACAUUUUAUUUGCUAAUUGCAUCAAACAUGUGUUUUAGACCUUGUUCAGGGAAAAGUGGUUAUAACUGUAUUUUAUGCUGAAAAUUGUCCAAGGUGUUCCUACUAUCUCAAUUGUGGACAUUUUCUUUGCAAUUGCAUCAAACAUGAGUUUUAGACCUUGUUCAGGGAAAAGUGGUUAUAACAGUAUUUUAUGCUUGAAACCUACUGAAAAUGGUCCAAGGUGUUCCUACUAUCUCCAUUGUGGACAUUUUCUUUGCAAUUGCAUCAAACAUGUGUUUUAGACCUUGUUCAGGGAAAAGUGGUUAUAACUGUACUUUAUGGUUGAAAUUUUGCUUGAAUUUGGUGACAGUGUUUCUUACCAUCCCAACAACGCGUGGACAACAUUUUAUUUGCUAAUUGCACCAAACACGUGUGUAUUAGACCUUGUUCAGGGAAAAGUGGUUAUAACAGUAUUUUAUGCUUGAAACCUACUGAAAAUGGUCCAAGGUGUUCCUACUAUCUCAAUUGUGGACAUUUUCUUUGCAAUUGCAUCAAACAUGUUUUAGACCUUGUUCUGAGAAAAGUGGUUAUAACUGUAUUUUAUGCUUGAAACCUACUGAAAAUGGUCCAAGGUGUUCCUACUAUCUCAAUUGUGGACAUUUUCUUUGCAAUUGCAUCAAACAUGAGUUUUAGACCUUGUUCAGGGAAAAGUGGUUAUAACAGUAUUUUAUGCUUGAAACCUACUGAAAAUUGUCCAAGGUGUUCCUACUAUCUCAAUUGUGGACAUUUUCUUUGCAAUUGCAUCAAACAUGUGUUUUAGACCUUGUUCAGGGAAAAGUGGUUAUAACUGUACUUUAUGGUUGAAAUUUUGCUUGAAUUUGGUGACAGUGUUUCUUACCAUCCCAACAACGCGUGGACAACAUUUUAUUUGCUAAUUGCAUCAAACAUGUGUUUUAGACCUUGUUCAGGGAAAAGUGGUUAUAACUGUAUUUUAUGCUGAAAAUUGUCCAAGGUGUUCCUACUAUCUCAAUUGUGGACAUUUUCUUUGCAAUUGCAUCAAACAUGAGUUUUAGACCUUGUUCAGGGAAAAGUGGUUAUAACAGUAUUUUAUGCUUGAAACCUACUGAAAAUGGUCCAAGGUGUUCCUACUAUCUCCAUUGUGGACAUUUUCUUUGCAAUUGCAUCAAACAUGUGUUUUAGACCUUGUUCAGGGAAAAGUGGUUAUAACUGUACUUUAUGGUUGAAAUUUUGCUUGAAUUUGGUGACAGUGUUUCUUACCAUCCCAACAACGCGUGGACAACAUUUUAUUUGCUAAUUGCACCAAACACGUGUGUAUUAGACCUUGUUCAGGGAAAAGUGGUUAUAACAGUAUUUUAUGCUUGAAACCUACUGAAAAUGGUCCAAGGUGUUCCUACUAUCUCAAUUGUGGACAUUUUCUUUGCAAUUGCAUCAAACAUGUUUUAGACCUUGUUCUGAGAAAAGUGGUUAUAACUGUAUUUUAUGCUUGAAACCUACUGAAAAUGGUCCAAGGUGUUCCUACUAUCUCAAUUGUGGACAUUUUCUUUGCAAUUGCAUCAAACAUGAGUUUUAGACCUUGUUCAGGGAAAAGUGGUUAUAACAGUAUUUUAUGCUUGAAACCUACUGAAAAUUGUCCAAGGUGUUCCUACUAUCUCAAUUGUGGACAUUUUCUUUGCAAUUGCAUCAAACAUGUGUUUUAGACCUUGUUCAGGGAAAAGUGGUUAUAACUGUACUUUAUGGUUGAAAUUUUGCUUGAAUUUGGUGACAGUGUUUCUUACCAUCCCAACAACGCGUGGACAACAUUUUAUUUGCUAAUUGCAUCAAACAUGUGUUUUAGACCUUGUUCAGGGAAAAGUGGUUAUAACUGUAUUUUAUGCUGAAAAUUGUCCAAGGUGUUCCUACUAUCUCAAUUGUGGACAUUUUCUUUGCAAUUGCAUCAAACAUGAGUUUUAGACCUUGUUCAGGGAAAAGUGGUUAUAACAGUAUUUUAUGCUUGAAACCUACUGAAAAUGGUCCAAGGUGUUCCUACUAUCUCCAUUGUGGACAUUUUCUUUGCAAUUGCAUCAAACAUGUGUUUUAGACCUUGUUCAGGGAAAAGUGGUUAUAACUGUACUUUAUGGUUGAAAUUUUGCUUGAAUUUGGUGACAGUGUUUCUGAGGAUCCCAACAACAUUUGAUUUGCACAUCAAACAUGUGUUUUAGACCUUGUUCAGGGAAAAGGGGUUCUAACUGUGGUUUAUGGUUGAAACUUGUUGGAAUUUGUUGACAGUGUUUUUGAGCUAUCCGUCUGCCAAUUAAAGCGUAAAAGUAGGGUGAAGCAACAGAACAAUGAACAAUGACCAAAACAGACAGGAGUAAAAUCAACAACUGGCUUCAACAGAAGAUGACCCAGUCCCGACUUCACGACUUUAAGCAGAUUUAAAAUGCUGUGACAUGAACCCGAGAGCGGUUCACACCAGGCAUCCUACGAAUAUUGUUGAACUGAAACAGUUUGGUAAAAGUGUAUGGUGCAAAAUUCCUCCUGACAUUUGAAGGUCUAAUCCGCAACUACAGAAAACAUUCGGUUGAGGUUAAUUGCUGCCAAAGGAGGGUUGACUUAAAUACAAGGGUUCACAUGGUGUGUUCAAUAAGGACAUAACACAUCACAUAAUGACCAAUUUAUGCAGAAAUGCAGGUAAUUCCAAAGGGUUCACAUACUUUUUUUUGCCACUGUAUAUUCCCACACAAAAUAAUUUCUCCACUAACUGUAUAUGCUCAGUGGAUAUAUUUGGAUAAUACUAAAUCCUUCACACCAGCACAUCACUUAGUGAUAAUAAAUAGCCACAAUGAAAAGUUAGACAUUCUUGGUUUUAUUAAAUUACAAUUUUAAUAAAACGAAGUUAAAACAUAGAACAAACAUGCCUGUAGCAAUAAUCUAGACAUAACGUGCAAAUCAGACACUAUUUUGCCAGAUAAGAUACACUUUCAGCAAGUUGCAACAUUGAAAUACAGUUAUAGACACUUUUCCAUAAACAAGCUCUAAAUCAUGUUUGAUGCAGUUAGCAAAUACAAUGUUGUCCACAGUUAAGAUGGUAGUAACACCUUGGACAAUUUUCAGCAGGUUUCAAACCAUAAAAUACAAUUAGUUGAACGUUUCGUUCAAAGUUGAUUUUAAAAUGCCAGGUUUAAACACUUUAAAAAUCCAACAGGUGUGUGUGUGCUUUUCUUUGACAUUGUUGGGAGAAAUUACUGAUUUGAGAGUUGCCUAAUCACACAAAUGAAGUUUUGGAAAGA